rnacentral:rRNA from 1 species
AACGAACGCUGGCGGCAGGCCUAACACAUGCAAGUCGAGCGAAGCCUUCGGGCUUAGCGGCGGACGGGUGAGUAACGCGUGGGAACGUGCCCUUUGGUACGGAAUAGCCCCGGGAAACUGGGAGUAAUACCGUAUGUCGUCGAGAGACGAAAGAUUUAUCGCCAAAGGAUCGGUCCGCGUUGGAUUAGGUAGUUGGUGGGGUAAUGGCCUACCAAGCCGACGAUCGAUAGCUGGUUUGAGAGGAUGAUCAGCCACACUGGGACUGAGACACGGCCCAGACUCCUACGGGAGGCAGCAGUGGGGAAUCUUAGACAAUGGGGGAAACCCUGAUCUAGCCAUGCCGCGUGAUCGAUGAAGGCCUUAGGGUUGUAAAGAUCUUUCAGUGGGGAAGAUAAUGACUGUACCCACAGAAGAAGCCCCGGCUAACUCCGUGCCAGCCGCCGCCGUAAUAC